rnacentral:rRNA from 1 species
UACGUAGGCAGCAAGCGUUGUUCGGAGUUACUGGGCGUAAAGAGUGUGUAGGCGGUGCUCUAAGUUCGGUGUGAAAUCUCCUGCUUAACUGGGAGGGUGCGCCGGAAACUGGAGUGCUCGAACGUGGGAGAGGAAAGCGGAAUUCCUGGUGUAGCGGUGAAAUGCGUAGAUAUCAGGAGGAACACCUGCGGUGUAGACGGCUCUCUGGACCGUAACUGACGCUGAGGCACGAAAGCGUGGGUAGCAAACAGG